GACGAACGCUGGCGGCGUGCUUAACACAUGCAAGUCGAACGGUGAAGCGCCUUCCUUUUUGGUGGGUGUGGAUGAGUGGCGAACGGGUGAGUAACACGUGAGUAACCUGCCCCCUUCUUCUGGAUAACCGCAUGAAAGUGUGGCUAAUACGGGAUAUUCUGGGUCUGUCGCAUGAUGGGUCUGGGAAAGAUAUUGUUUCGGUGGGGGAUGGGCUCGCGGCCUAUCAGCUUGUUGGUGGGGUGAUGGCCUACCAAGGCGGUGACGGGUAGCCGGCCUGAGAGGGUGGACGGUCACACUGGGACUGAGGCACGGCCCAGACGCCUACGGGAGGCAGCAGUGGGGAAUAUUGCACAAUGGGCGCAAGCCUGAUGCAGCGACGCCGCGUGAGGGAUGGAGGCCUUCGGGUUGUGAACCUCUUUCGCCAGUGAAGCAGGCCUGCCUCGUUUGUGGGUGGGUUGACGGUAGCUGGAUAAGAAGCGCCGGCUAACUACGUG
rnacentral:rRNA from 1 species